ensembl:processed_transcript
CCAUAGAUCUAUACUCUAGAUAUUGCAUACGGACCCUGAGCAUGUGUCAAUAAUACUGCUGUCAUAUUUGCACAGUGCUUUCAGUACAAAAGUCAUUCAACCGCACUAAAUCAAGACUAAAGCCAGUGUGAAGAUACUGGAUUUUAGCGCUGUGUAUGGGUGCAGUAACGAGCAAACAAAGAAAACAAAGCACAAAGGCAGAAUAUUUCAUAGGUAAGAUUUCUUUUUUUUAUGAUUUUGUACGUUACGAACGUUAUUGAUGACAAUACAGUUACUUACUGCCCUUACCAUAAGGCAAAGUAGCACCAACUUGCACUAAAUUCUAGGCUUAUCCUAGUUUUGUUGAGUGAAAUCAGUAAAUAACGUAAACAAAUUAUUACAACAAUGCUGCGGUGCUAGAAACUUUUAUUAUUGUUGGCUAGGUGAAGUAAUGGCUAGAUUUUGAAGUAACUUAUAAGGGUGCCUGAUAACACAACAAUGCCUGUGCCUCAAUGUGCAUACUGUCCAGCCUAAAGUAUUAGAUAUUACAUGUGUUAUAUACCAUUUAGAUCAGAAAGAUGGAUGUGCACAUUGAGACGCAGAUAUAUCAAUGGUUUAAGUGAAUCAUUUAUAACUCAGAUGCAUUCACAAAUGAAAUGCUCCCUCUGUUAGAGUUAGGACGUGGAUUAGAUCAAA